CCUACGGGAGGCAGCAGCAGGGAAUAUUGCGCAAUGAGCGAAAGCUUGACGCAGCGACACCGCGUGUGGGAUGACGGAUCUAGGUUUGUAAACCACUUUCAGGAGGGAAGAAAAUGACGGUACCUCCACAAGAAGCCCCGGCCAACUACGUGCCAGCAGCCGCGGUAAUACGUAGGGGGCGAGCGUUGUCCGGAUUUAUUGGGCGUAAAGAGCUCGUAGGCGGUUCAACAAGUCGGUCGUAAAAGUUCAGGGCUCAACCCUGAAAUGUCGAUCGAUACUGUUGUGACUAGGAUACGGUAGAGGUGAGUGGAAUUCCGAGUGUAGCGGUGAAAUGCGUAGAUAUUCGGAGGAACACCAAUUGCGAAGGCAGCUCACUGGGCCGCUAUCGACGCUGAGGAGCGAAAGCUAGGGGAGCAAACAGGAUUAGAUACCCUGGUAGUCCUAGCUGUAAACGAUGGAUACUAGACGUAGGAACUGGAUUGACGGUUUCUGUGUCGUAGCUAACGCGUUAAGUAUCCCGCCUGGGGAGUACGGUCGCAAGACUAAAACUCAAAKGAAUUGACGG
rnacentral:rRNA from 1 species